rnacentral:rRNA from 1 species
GAUGAACGCUGGCGGCGUGCCUAAUACAUGCAAGUCGAGCGAACGGACGAGAAGCUUGCUUCUCUGAUGUUAGCGGCGGACGGGUGAGUAACACGUGGAUAACCUACCUAUAAGACUGGGAUAACUUCGGGAAACCGGAGCUAAUACCGGAUAAUAUUUUGAACCGCAUGGUUCAAAAGUGAAAGACGGUCUUUCUGUCACUUAUAGAUGGAUCCGCGCUUCAUUAGCUAGUUGGUAAGGUAACGGCUUACCAAGGCAACGAUGCAUAGCCGACCUGAGAGGGUGAUCGGCCACCCUGGAACUGAGGCACGGUCCAGACUCCUACGGGAGGCAGCAGUAGGGAAUCUUCCGCGAUGGGCGAAAGCCUGACGGAGCAACGCCGCGUGAGUGAUGAAGGUCUUCGGAUCGUAAAACUCUGUUAUUAGGGAAGAACAUAUGUGUAAGUACCUGUGCACAUCUUGACGGUACCUAAUCAGAAAGCCACGGCUAACUACGUG